GCCCAGAUGGUGAAAUCGGUAGACACAAGGGAUUUAAAAUCCCUCGGCGGCAACGCUGUGCGGGUUCAAGUCCCGCUCUGGGCACCA
rnacentral:tRNA from 9 species